GAAUGCCUUUUGUCAUAGGUGAAAUUACGGAUCCAAAUGACAACGGGGCAGGAACAUUCCGACAUCUGAAUGGACAGGGCGGCACGGAGUGUGGGAACAACGGGACGCCUUUGUUAUAGGUAGGAUUAGGGAUCUAGAAAACAAAGGGACAAGAAUAGCCAGGCCUCUGAAUGGACAUGACGGCACGGGUGCGGAAGCAUUUGAAUAUCUUUUGUUAUAGGUGGGAUUAUAGACCCGAAUAUGAAAGGGACGGGUGGUCAAGCGCGAAAGCGACGGAAUGCCUUUAGGGUGGAUAAAAUGCGGAGGCUGGGAGCAGUGGGACAGAGUUCUUCCUGUCAUCGAGGUCCAUUGGAGUCAGCCGUCGAGUCGUCCGUGUGACGAGUUUCAGCGCAGCCAGGCUCAACCCUCUACGGAGAUGACCCACCGCAUCGCCCUUCAACAGCUUCCAGCGCAUCAGGGUGGGAAUAAGCAUCGACCUCUGAACAAGGCUUGUGAAGGAUGCGAUUGGGCAAUUGGAGAGAAUCGCCCUCCAUCACGAAUGGAGGGAGGAGGAACUUCGCUCACAACAAUGAGAAGAGUGCUGUGUGAAUAAAAUACGGAAACAGCGACGCAGGAACCCGCUCCCCCACCAUAAAAUGCGGCCACUGCGGAGCUGUGAUGACAGCCGCCUGUGCGCCAAUCAGCGCGGGCCCUCCGUGACCUGCACCUGCCCGAUUCGCAACACAGAGCAACCCACGCUGGUGUUUGGAUAAUAAUUGCACAGUGGCAAGCAUGAACUGCAUAAAAACCCUAAAAGUAGAACGUGUGUUAUUUUUUCUUGUCAACAAUACGUGCCGCCUUACCAUGAAGACAACUUGUUUCUCUGGAGCCUUCACUUGUAGAAACUUGACAAUUUUGUGCUUCACGAGCGUCCUAAGAAAUAUUUAAACUUAAAAAAAUUACAACAUGUUACAAAGUACAAGAAGCAAAAAAAUCCAAUUGUAUGGUUUAGAAAAAUGUGCCAUGCAUCUGUUACUUAUGAAUGGAAUACAAUAUAGCAUUUAUACAUUUCACAAUAAAUCACACGGUUGGAUUUAAUUAUCUGUAAAAAUGAAAUCUAACAUUGUUUAUCUGUGGUGUAAUUAGUCGAUAAUUUCGUGACUGUAAACGUUCACACUGGCCAUAGCUUAGAUUCCUCUACCGUGUGAACGUCACGAGCAUUACUCGCUGUCUGCCAAGUUCAUUACACCUCCAAUUAGCACGGCUGGCUACGUGCGGUGAGAAAGAAGUUCGUCAUACGUAUAUACUCUGAAAUCCAAACAUUAUUGGCAAUGUUGGUGUGCAGCCCGUCUGUCAAUACACUGCUGAACGUGGUCCUUCCCACGCCAUUCAGGCAGUGAGGGUUAUUUGACCCUACUUCACUUUAGUCAAUGGAAGUUGGCGGAUGUGGGGCAGAAUAGAACAACAAUUUAUUUUGCUGUACUGCGCUCUAAUGUCGACAAGACCGACUACCGUUUUUGUGCUUGAUAGUUGCCCAUCCAAGCACCAUUCAGUCACAGACAUGCUUAGCUAAUUGGGUUGCGGAUUGUCUGUGAUUGCAAAAAAAAGGUGAAACAAUGCAGGAAUUUAAGGUGCGAGCUGCUCCUAAUUCAGUGGCUCCUCACUCGUCAAGGAUCAGUGGCUCAGUGUGAACCUCGUGACCGUAAACACACUCUUUAGGUCUUUCGGUAAAGUCACGUCAUCAGGCCUGAUGACGGACGAUUGUGUUGCGUCCGAAACG